rnacentral:misc_RNA from 1 species
CCGAGUUUUCUACUCCCAAACCCCUGUGAACUUAUACCUUUACUGUUGCUUCGGCGGGUUAACGCCCCGGAACGGCCCCCCAAGGCCUCCCGGAACCAGGCGCCCGCCGGGGGACCCAAACUCUUGUUUUUAUAGUGUCUCUUCUGAGUGGCAUAAGCAAAUAAUUA